GGCGCUGUGACUUAGUUGGUUAAAGCCCCUGUCUAGUAAACUGGAGAUCCUGGGUUCAAAUCCCAGCAGUGCCU